rnacentral:misc_RNA from 1 species
AGAUGACGACAUACCUGGUUUGUUGUUCUGGCUUAGUCUGUUGCUGGUGGCUUUAUUUGUUCUUGCUUCUUCAAACUGCUGGGUAGGUGAAGGACUGAAGGUAAGUCACGAUAGAUUAGGGCUCCUUUUAUUUUUUGGCUGUUAAGAAAAAAAAAAAAAAUUAAAUUUCCCGUUUCUUUCACAAGGCGGCGCCUUGGGGCCUUGUCGCCUGUCGCCUUUGAGGUCCGGGGCAUCCGCCUUGUAUCAGUCGCCUCGCCUUGGACUGGGGAGUCGCUGGAGCAUCAUCUCGGCUCGCCUCUCGACUCGCCCAGCGCCUCUUCUCGCCUUUUACAACACUGGAAUACAUGCAUUGUAUAUUUCUAAUUUCUACCCUUAGUUAAUACAUUCAGGUUUGGUGUUUUCUCGGCUACUGGUAGCAACUGUGUUUCUUAGUUAUUCUUCUUGGUAGAUUAUCCUAUUCAUUUAUUAAGUCAUUUUUUCUAACCAAACACUGUAUUGGCAUUUGACUGUCUCUUUUGUUCCUUAAUGAUAAAGUUUCAGUUCCUUGGUUGUGAUGCAAC